rnacentral:rRNA from 1 species
UGGUGCCAGCAGCCGCGGUAAUUCCAGCUCCAAUAGCGUAUAUUAAAGUUGUUGCAGUUAAAAAGCUCGUAGUUGAAUUUCGGGAUUAGUACGUUGGUCGUGCCUUAGGUACGUACUGGUGUUACUGGUUCCUACCUUCUGACGAACCAUCAUUUCAUUAAUUUGGUGUGGCGGGGAAUCAGGACUGUUACUUUGAAAAAAUUAGAGUGUUUAAAGCAGGCUCGCGCUUGAAUACAUUAGCAUGGAAUAAUGAAAUAGGACGUUGACCCUAUUUUGUUGGUUUCUAGGAUUGACGUAAUGAUUAAUAGGGAUAGUUGGGGGCAUUAGUAUUCAAUUGUCAGAGGUGAAAUUCUUGGAUUUAUUGAAGACUAACUACUGCGAAAGCAUUUGCCAAGGAUGUUUUCAUUAAUCAAGAACGAAAGUUAGGGGAUCGAAGACGAUCAGAUACCGUCGUAGCCUUAACCAUAAACUAUGCCGACUAGGGA